CCCCGGGGAGCCCCCCCGGGGUGGGGGAGGGGAAGGAGGAGGCGCCGGUGUCCGAGCAGGUGAAGCGCUCGAGGCUGAACCCGAACGCCAAAGAGUUCAGCCCGGGGCGGGGCCUGGCCAAGGCCCCGCCCAGCGCCGCCCCCUUCCCCACGCCACG